AUAUAUCUGCCACCGGGUAGAGAAUGCGGGGCAUUCGCCGGCAUAUCGUUAGGUCUUAGAAGAUAUGUCAGCGGAUGCUUUUUGUUU
rnacentral:ncRNA from 1 species